rnacentral:rRNA from 1 species
CAGUCGCCGCGGGAAUACAGAGGGUGCAAGCGUUAAUCGGAAUUACUGGGCGUAAAGCGCGCGUAGGUGGUUUGUUAAGUUGGAUGUAAAAUCCCCGGGCUCAACCUGGGAACUGCAUCCAAAACUGGCAAGCUAGAGUAUGGUAGAGGGUGGUGGAAUUUCCUGUGUAGCGGUGAAAUGCGUAGAUAUAGGAAGGAACACCAGUGGCGAAGGCGACCACCUGGACUGAUACUGACACUGAGGUGCGAAAGCGUGGGGAGCAAACAGGAUUAGAUACCCGUGUAGUCCCUGUCUCUUAUAC